rnacentral:rRNA from 1 species
AUAGCGUAUAUUAAAGUUGUUGCAGUUAAAAAGCUCGUAGUUGAACCUUGGGUCUGGCUGGUUGGUCCGCCUCACCGCGUGUACUGAUCCGGCCGGACCUUUCCUUCUGGGGAACUGCAUGCCCUUCACUGGGUGUGUCAGGGAUCCAGGACUUUUACUUUGAAAAAAUUAGAGUGUUCAAAGCAGGCCUAUGCUCGAAUACAUUAGCAUGGAAUAAUAGAAUAGGACGUGUGGUUCUAUUUUGUUGGUUUCUAGGACCGCCGUAAUGAUUAAUAGGGAUAGUCGGGGGCAUCAGUAUUCAAUUGUCAGAGGUGAAAUUCUUGGAUUUAUUGAAGACUAACUACUG